UGGAUGAGGUAUGCGGAAUGUGUAGUGUAGCGGUGAAAUGCAUAGAUAUUACACAGAACACCGAUUGCGAAGGCAGCAUACUGGGCCAUUACUGACGCUGAGGCACGAAAGCGUGGGGAUCAAACAGGAUUAGAUACCCUGGUAGUCCACGCUGUAAACGAUGAUCACUCGCUGUUUGCGAUAUACAGCAAGCGGUUGAGCGAAAGCAAUAAGUGAUCCACCUGGGGAGUACGAUCGCAGGGUUGAAACUC
rnacentral:rRNA from 1 species